rnacentral:misc_RNA from 1 species
GUGAAUCAUCGAAUCUUUGAACGCAUAUUGCACUCUCUGGUAUUCCGGAGAGUAUGCCUAUUUGAGGGUCAUUUGUAAUAAUAUAAAUUCCAAGAUUUCUCGGAAUUUAAACUGGGUUGUCUAUUUUUUGUGGUCGACUAAAUUCCAAGACAAGCUAAUUUUUUUGGGUUGCGUGAUAUUUUCAGUUCCAUCGCGACGUAAACAGGCAUCAAAGGGCGCGUUAUGAAUGUUGCUAGAG